rnacentral:rRNA from 1 species
UACGUAGGGUGCAAGCGUUGUUCGGAAUCACUGGGCUUAAAGGGCGCGUAGGCGGACUGCCAAGUCCGGGGUGAAAUCCUCCGGCUUAACCGGAGAAUUGCCUGGGAUACUGGCGGUCUUGAGGGAGGUAGGGGCACGCGGAACUUCCGGUGGAGCGGUGAAAUGCGUUGAUAUCGGAAGGAACGCCGGUGGCGAAAGCGGCGUGCUGGCCCUCUUCUGACGCUGAGGCGCGAAAGCCAGGGGAGCGAACGGG